rnacentral:rRNA from 1 species
ACGGAAGGCAGCAGUGGGGAAUAUUGCACAAUGGGCGGAAGCCUGAUGCAGCGAUGCCGCGUGAGGGAAGAAGGUUUUCGGAUUGUAAACCUCUGUCCUCAGGGACGAUAAUGACGGUACCUGAGGAGGAAGCUCCGGCUAACUACGUGCCAGCAGCCGCGGUAAUACGUAGGGAGCGAGCGUUGUCCGGAAUUACUGGGUGUAAAGGGUGCGUAGGCGGGACGGCAAGUCAGAUGUGAAAUGUAUGGGCUUAACCCAUAACCUGCAUUUGAAACUGUUGUUCUUGAGUGAGGUAGAGGUAAGCGGAAUUCCUAGUGUAGCGGUGAAAUGCGUAGAUAUUAGGAGGAACAUCGGUGGCGAAGGCGGCUUACUGGGCCUUUACUGACGCUGAGGCGCGAAAGCGUGGGUAGCGAACAGGAUUAGAUACCCUGGUA